rnacentral:rRNA from 1 species
UACGGAGGGAGCUAGCGUUGUUCGGAAUUACUGGGCGUAAAGCGCGCGUAGGCGGCUUUGUAAGUUAGAGGUGAAAGCCCGGAGCUCAACUCCGGAACUGCCUUUAAAACUGCAUCGCUUGAAUCCAGGAGAGGUGAGUGGAAUUCCGAGUGUAGAGGUGAAAUUCGUAGAUAUUCGGAAGAACACCAGUGGCGAAGGCGGCUCACUGGACUGGUAUUGACGCUAAGGUGCGAAAGCGUGGGGAGCAAACAGG